AUACAUGCAAGUCGAACGAGAAUGUGUAGCAAUACACAUGUACAGUGGCGAACGGGUGAGGAUUACAUGGGUAACCUACCCUCGAGUGGGGAAUAACUAGCCGAAAGGUUAGCUAAUACCGCGUACGCUUCCCGGACUGCGGUUCGGGAAGGAAAGCGAUACCGUGGGUAUCGCGCUCUUGGAUGGGCUCAUGCCCUAUCAGCUUGUUGGUGAGGUAACGGCUCACCAAGGCUUCGACGGGUAGCUGAUCUGAGAGGAUGAUCAGCCACACUGGCACUGCGACACGGGCCAGACUCCUACGGGAGGCAGCAGUAAGGAAUAUUGCGCAAUGGGCGAAAGCCUGACGCAGCGACGCCGCGUGGGGGAUGAAGGUCUUCGGAUUGUAAACCCCUUUCGGGAGGGAAGAUGGGAUGGGGUAACCCAUUCGGACGGUACCUCCAGAAGCAGCCACGGGUAACUUCGUGCCAGCAGCCGCGAUAAUACGAAGGUGGCAAGCGUUGUUCGGAUUUACUGGGCGUACAGGGAGCGUAGGCGGUUGGAUAAGCCCUCCGUGAAAUCUCCAGGCUUAACCUGGAAAGUGCA
rnacentral:rRNA from 1 species